GCAGAGGUGGUUCAGUGGCAGAAUUCCCACUUUUUAUGUGGGAGACCCAGGUUUGAUUCUGAACCAAUGCA
rnacentral:tRNA from 1 species